AAGGGUAUAGCUCAGUGGUAGAGUUCGUGCUUAGCACGCACAGGGUCCUGAGUUCAAUCCCCAGUACCUCCA
rfam:Camelus ferus unplaced genomic scaffold scaffold1712, whole genome shotgun sequence.